UGGGGAAUUUUGGACAAUGGGCGAAAGCCUGAUCAGCAACGCCACGUGUGGGAAGAAGGCCUGAGGGUUGUAAACCACUUUUGCAGGGGAAGAAACACCCGCAGGGAUUGUGGGUACCGUGGGAAUAAGCCCCGGCUAAAUCUCCGCCAAAAGCCCCGGUAAUUAA
rnacentral:rRNA from 1 species